UCGUGUGGUAGAGGAGGCGGGUCGUCGUAUCCGGAAAUUUAUUACGUCAGUUUAAAGUCAGUUUUAUCAAAGUCGUAAGCAAUGCAAACUUAAACCUUUAAAAUUAUCCGUGUAUUACAUAUUUUGUACACGUAUCAAACCGCCUGUAAGUGCAUAGGAUAUAUAACCGAGGGAAUAAUUCAGCUGAAUAAUAAGCGGGGAAUGAAAUUUUUCAAUGAAAUUAUAUAACAGAUAUUACGUUAGGUUGAUGUAUAUAUUUCACUACACAGUACAUAAAUAAAUAGAUACUCGCGCAAUUCCUGAGACCAGAGUAAGCUGUGUAGAUAUAUACAUAUUUGAAUACAUACCUAUAUUUCGUUAGACCGCGCGGAUAUUCGACGAUACGCCGUGAUUUCAGGCGCUUCUCAAUCCCGUAAUGUGCAUUCACGGAAGAGAGGAAUUUAUCUCCGUGUAAUUAACCGAUACGCCCGCGACUCUUUACCUUCGACCGUCAUAUACCUGCACACGCUCGUCGUGUACCUACGCAUCGCGAAGGUACCAUCGGCCCAAUUUUUACAGCAGUCGAGGCCCAAGAUUUUGACACGACGACGACGAACGUAUCGUUACGCCGAUCAGAUAAGCCCGUACGUACCUAAAGUGUCAUCCGGUUACCCGAAAAAUUUUCGUUCACGUCGAUCGUGAUGAUUUUUCUCAUUCGCGAUUGCGCCGGUAUUCGGGAUAUUCCGAUGGCCCUUGAUGCACGGCGGUCGGGAUACUUCCGUUACCGGCGAAUAGAUCAGGUUAGGUGGGGCCGCGGUUAAUCACGGCGGUCGGCUGGUGGUAAAUAUAUUUCCACAGUCCAUCGGGAGGUCGGAAUAGUUCGGUGGCCGAUGUGUCAAUUGCUCGGUAUGGUUUAAUUUUGAUAACCUCGGCGACGUCGUACGUCCGACGACGGGAGGAAGGAGAGCCACGUUUCCUUAAUCACUCGGAAUACCUCGGCUGUUGCGCGGCAAUAGAUUAGUGUAAGGGAUAGAUGAUGCAGCGGUACAAUAAGCACGGGUUAGGCUCGCUCGGUAUUAUGGUAGUCGACGUGAGAGAUCGUUUAUACAUAUGCUAAGAUCAGCGCGCGCGCUUGUUUAGAUCGACGAUGCUAAUGCCCGUUACGAUCCUGGGGAAUGAAUAAUGGGCUGCUAUAGUGAAAUACACCAGGACAUAAAUAUUGUAUCUGGAGCGCUAUAUAUUAAGCUGGUAUCGAAUACAUUAUCCCCUUCUGUUCUGCGUUUGUUCCCGAAGCUGAACUUCUAUCUGAUUGAGAUUGUUGCCAUGGGAAUAUGGCCCGCACUUGCGCUCAUUUGUUCGACUUCCUAGUUAUUUCAGAUCCCCCGCAGUACCCGAUGCAUACUUAUGUAUACCAACCAACGUUUCACGUAUAUGUGUGUGUAUUUCACUUCACCUUACAUUUCCAAAUUAUCAUUUCGUGCCAGCGGAGCGCACCUGGAGACGAGAAGCGACUUGGAACUCUGUAAUCAUCGACCGUCCGGUAACCUCCUUAACGAAUUUCCAUGUCACUCCACGGUUUGAAAAGAAAAGAAACGAAAGAUAGAAAGCGUACGACGUCCGAUCCAUUUCAUAACUACCCUCCAAAUCAGAUUCAAUGGGAUACCGAAGCAAACUAGACUAGCGACGUCUUUACAACGUAAACUUUAUUAAGAAUUUAUUAAACUUCUACCAAGUUGUCGUAAAAAGUUUAACGAGUUACACGAAAGUUGCCGGAUUCAAAGUUUCCAAAAGUUUCUAUGUGUAGUUCUAUAGUAAAACUCGUCACGUAUCUUAAUUAUGUAUAUAAAAGCUAAUAAUUGUAAAAAAUAUAUAUGUUUCUCCGACGAAUUUUAAUUAACGAUACGCUUCAACGAAGACUGACCACGACAUUUUUCCAAAAAUAACGAAAAAAUCCAAUUCCGUUGGUCCGUACGUCGAUUUCAUGUGAAAAUUUCUAAUGGAAUUUCCUCCUCCGUACGCUAAAUUCUCUUCGCAAAAUUCCACCGUAUAUAUACCAAAAUCCUUCGCGUAUAUGUGCGCUCUACUCCGCGCGUCGCAUUCUGCUUUAUAAUUUAAUUGUGCAAUUACUUCGGAACAUGAUAUCCAAUACCCUGUAAAGGGUGCUACUAUUAACAGUAAUUACACGAUAAAUGUAUACAGUUUAGUUUAUCCACUCAACCGACCCGCCGCCGCCUCGCGGGUCGCUCGCCAUCUUUUCAUUUUGUUUGCGAGUAACAAUGUCCACGGAGAAACUGUACACGGUUCGCACGUAACUAAAUAAUUUCCAUCAAGUUGAAACAAAUUAUCCGCACAUCGACUUGCGUUAUUUAUUGUAGUAAGUAUAUCGAACGGCUGAAAUACGCGUGCGAAUAAAUGCAAUUUGCAGUAUACGUAUAACGCGACGUGUAACCAAAGCUUGUUAUAUCAACGUAUAACCCACACCGGCAAUAAUAUGUAAUAUCCUUUAGCCGGGGGGUUACAGGUCUCCCUGUCAGCGAGUACAAAACCCAGCCAACCGGACUUCUACAGCGGUUCAAAACUUAAUGGAAUUUCCAUGUGUACGCAUUGUAGGUACCAAAGGACACGCGUUAUCCAGGUAUUAAAACACGUGUGCGUAGAAGUAAAUCGUUUAUCCUACCGCAACAGAAACGGAAACAACGACCGCGGCGAAGCUUGUACCUUGAAUUAUUCCUAUACCGCCGUCUCGAGGGGAAAAAAAAAAAAAACAAAAAAACACGACGUUUGUCGAGAUGGUAUAAGCGCGAAUUCUGCGCCGCCCUUGAUUUCCCCACUCUCUACGGAACGAUGGCACGUACGUAAAAUAGUUGCACAUUGUCAUCGAAAUAAAUAACGAUAUCUCGACAAACUACUAACAAUCCUAACGGUAUCCCUGCGGAAUGAUUCACGUUUCGUCUGUUCGGCUGCAGUAAAAGUUCCCCCACUCGUAUGUGUAUAUCACAUCCGUAUCUGCCUAUUAGGAUGGUUUUCAUCGCGAGAUUCGAGCAUUUCUUACCAAAAGUUUCAUCCGAUCGAAAGAUCGAAUAGAAUACUGUAAAACACGUUUAUGGCGACGUUUUAAAAUUUUUCGUAGUUCUUCUUUCGCAUCGCCUUCUACUCGAACAAUUAUCUUCAGCACGAUCGAACGAUAUCGGUUUGAAAAAAAUCAUCGCUUCUUUGGCAGAAAAAUUACAGUACGAGAAAACCGGCGGACGAUUCGACUCGUCUUCGCUAAUUUUGUAGAACUGGUCUAUUUUGAGCGUAAGCGUAAACGAAUGGAACGUAAAAUGCGAGUCGAGAUUGCAAAUGAUAAUUUUAGCGAUACGACUGAAAAAGUUUUCCAGCGUAUGACAUGAAAAAGUGAAACAAGCAGUGGCGGAAGAAAUACAAAGCAAAAAUGUGAAAUAACGAGAAAAAGAAGAAGAUCGAGGACGUCUGUGUGCUCUAGAAAUAUACGAGUCGGUGUACCGGUAUGUAGGUUACGAGGCAAGUUUAGAAGUGCUAAGCAGCGAGAAACUUUGUACUUUUCUUCAUCGUACGCGAGCGAUCUCUGAAAGGAACAUGGGUCUGGUGCUUGCAUAGGUAUACUCCGUCCGUACACCGGUCGUCUAUCCGAAGUCUACCACCAGCAGCAGGAGCAGACAGACGGAAGGAACGAAGGGAAGAACGUAGUCGCCGCGCUGCGCCACGUUGAAAACGAAACGGCUGUAGCAGUUGCACGGCGAAGCGAUUCGAACGAAGAAUAAAAAUAAUUAUAAUAGAUAGGUAUAAGAGAGAAAGAAGAAGGAAAAAAGGUACUUUUGACGUUACCUUCGACAUUUGUCGAAAUGUACGACAUAUUCAUAUUUCACGUCAUUUGCACUACGAGAAAGAGGAAAGUAGAAUGGGUGAGUACGACGACGAUGACGUAAAGUUCAGCGGAAGAAUGUAUUGAAGAUAAAUAACUAACCAAACAUGUAGACGAAUAAAAUUUGUGUGAAACAAAAAAAAA